AGGACCACAUAAAUCCAGAUGGAUCAGCGGCAAAUCGUUGGAGACUUUGCAGUGUCCAGCAAGUGGAAGAAGUGAAAUGCGUUUUGAGAGUAAUUCCCACAUGGUUUGCGGCUGUUAUCUUCCAUCUUAUGAUCAAUCAGCAACAUACCUAUGCUGUCUUCCAAGCUCAGCAAUCCAACAGACGUCUUGGAAACAUUAGCUUCAAAAUCCCAGCAGCAUCUUAUGUGGUCUUCAUGAUGCUUAGCAUGACCAUUUGGAUACCUAUUUAUGACAGAAUUUUUGUCCCAUUUCUCCGAAGGCUCACAGGAAAAGAAGGCGGCAUCACACUGCUUCAAAGAAUGGGCAUCGGUAUAGGCAUCUCCAUAAUAACCAUGCUAGUAUCUGGGGUUGUUGAAGAGCACCGAAGAACCACAGCUCUUACCAAGCCUACCGUAGGGUUUCAACCAAGAAGGGGUGCCGUUUCAUCAAUGUCUGGUAUGUUUUUGAUUCCUCAGUUUGCACUAGCUGGACUGGCAGAUGCUUUUACUUCCAUUGGACUAGUGGAAUUCUACUACAAGCAAUUUCCUGAGAACAUGCGGAGCGUUGGAGGGUCGUUAUUCUUUUGUGCAUUGGCAGGUUCAAGUUAUUUGAGCAGUUUAUUGAUAACUAUUGUUCACCAAACCACACAAGGAGCAGCAACUGGAAAUUGGUUACCAGAAGAUCUGAACAAGGGAAGACUGGAUUACUACUAUUACAUGAUUGCUGGCUUGGAGGUUUUGAAUUUAGGAUACUUUUUAGUAUACGCUAGGUGGUACGAGUACAAAGAGACAGGCACAGGCUCAGCUACUACCAUUGAGUUUGAAGCGAAUGGUGAGGUGAAGCAAUCUGAUAAAACUUUAGUUUAAUGAUGACUAUAUUCAUGUUAGGCUAUGAUAAAACUGCGGGGCUGUUUAGUUCAGCUUCAGCACUAGGCUAAGGGGAGAGUCAUUUUCUCGGUAGUGAUUAAUGAUUCCUUAUCCUAGCUUGUUUAGCAGAAGAUUUUAAUUGAAUUAGAUAGAUGCAGACCCGAAUGAUGAAAUAAUGAUGAAAUUUAACAUACUCUUACUUCUGUUGAAAGUUCUUUCAAUACUCCCUGGGAUGAUUCCUGCCUUGCGCAUACCGCAACGUCAAACCAUUAUGGAAUUUGAAAGAGAUUGCUUCAAAUUUUUAAGUAAAAAUUAAAAUAAUCUUAACCCUUCUAUAUAAUCUCUCAACUUAUGAACUAACAAUUCAUAUCAAGAAAACAACUUUAAGCAAUGUAUAGGAGCAGAGAGUGCAGCACCAAAUAUAUCUAGAGUUUCUAACCGCUUGUUGCCCAAAAUAUUACAACCGAAGCAUUUGCCUAUCAACUAUCAAGAGUUUGUCCUUAGUACAGUUGAUUUAAAGAACGGCGAACCUUAGACCUUACUGAUAUAAGCAUCAAAUGCCACGACAGAAAUAAGUACAUACUGUGGGCAUUUUGUGGCGAAAGUUAAGAGCAGAGAUGAAAACAGAAAGAUAAAUACUCACCACAGCACUCUGACGUGCUGGAAAGGAAAAUAUACUAGCACAAAAUAACACUCUUGUUUGGCGGGUAACUUGCAACAACAUGCUGAUUACAUAUCUUCACAGCACCAGGAAAUGUUUCUUAAUAGAUAACGAUUACGUCAAUAGAUGAUCUCUUAGACCGUGUAAGCUUGCUGAAUCGUGUCUAUGUCAAGGCCUUUCAAUCUCACAUGCAUCAGCAUCAAACAUUGAAAAGAGCUCCAAAAUUAAACAAGGAAUCCGCGAGCAAUUAAUGUAAUUAUUGGAUUUAUAUGAUAUCAUAAACAAGGAGAAAUUCUACAAUACAUAUGAUAUUCAAUGUCAUCUGAUGACGACGUAGAAUCACUAACCAAUAACUUUUUUACGUGUGUCGGUUAAUUUUUUUAUGGACACAUGUUUGUCCAUAAAAAAACAAUGAAUCAUACAAUUACAAAAAAUAUCCAGCAUCAAUAUCUUAACUUGUUUUACAGUACAUUAAACAAACAUGUGGUGGGCAAAAGAAAAAUUUAGUGAAUGGUUCUUAGCUCCUUUUGCAAAUGUUUGAAAUAUGACAACCCCCAACCUUAAUUCACUUUGCAGAUAUAAAAAUAAUCUUGUUUUGAUACUCCUUUUGCUUCCCAUUCACAAAUCCAUUCCCGUAGAAAAUCCUGCCACUAGCUUAAUUAGAAAAUUUGUUGCAUUUUUUUUUUUUUUUUUUUUUUGUUGCAGGGGAAUGGAGUUGUAAAUGGGAAGGAGUAUGAAACCAGACUCUUUGUAGCCAUUUUAUUCAAUUUAUUAUUUUUAUAACCUUUAGUAAAUUAAUGUUUCUUGGAAUUUGGAAGAGAGAAGAAGAAUUUUUUAAACUAGAGCAGAGAAAGAGAAAUGGAAGGAAUUGUUUGACUUUUAAUUAUUAAAAAUUAAUUGACACAUGUAAAAAUAUUAUUGGCUAAUAAUUCUACAUCAUCAAAUGACACGGAAUAUCAAAUAUAUUGUAGGAUUUCUCUAUAAACAUAAGUAGAUAUUGGGUUCCGCAUUUACCACUGAUUGAGAAGGAGGUGGCAUAGAAUUUUGCGCGUUUUAGCUUUUUUUUUUCUGCUUACUUUUUCCUUUCUCUGAUUAUACAUCAAAUAUUUUGUUUCCUGAUAAGUUUCAACCAAUCAAUGAAGAUUAUAUGAUUGGGGUGGAGUUGAGGUCAGGAAUGACGUGUUGGUCCAAUAACGGAAAAAGUGAGUUGAGUUGGGGCACUACGUGAUUUUGGGUCCUUAUCUAACUAGUAUCAUUUCGUCAUUUACACAUUAAAUUUGAUAUUUGUAUUGUCAAGGCUUAUUUUAUAUAUUACUUAUGAUUGGACCCCUACUUGUCAGUAGCCAAGGUUUGAAGAUCAAUUUCUUAUUCAAUUUCCCGACUCACUUUCUUGCUUUUGUUUAAACUGCGUCAAGCGAAUAGUAGGGCAUGAUGAGUCAAGGGAGUGUCUGUUGGGACUCAAUUAGUGAGUGGUGAUUCUGGUGAAUCAAGCGGAUAUUAAUUGGGUAGCGUCGAUGAUACGAUAAUGAAAGUAUUUUUGGGCCUUAAGUUUAAUAUAUUGGUCCAAUUUUGGACUCUUGUUUAAGCUUUGACUAAGAUUGUGGAUGACAGAAGUGUUCGAGUCAGAAAAUACUUGAGUAAAAUGUGAGCAAUGGUGUUAGGAAGGAUACAAAGCUCAUCCUGUAGCUCUAGCUGCUUUCUACAUAUAACCCCAUUGACAAAGCACACGUACUGUUUAAUAAUUACUGGUUACAAAGCACCAAUUCAGAAUGAAAGCAGCAGAGAAAGAAACGGAGGAGAAGAAAGAGAAUGGAACCUUAGAGUUGGAGAAGAUUUAUGAGAAUAGAACCAUGGAAUUGGAGAAGGUUAAGAAAACUGUGGGAAAUGAUCAUGAUGAGCCCAAGAUUCACUACCGAGGAUGGAAAGCUAUGCCCUUCAUCAUAGGUGAGCUGGAGUGGGCUGAUUGCUUGCUUCCUUCAUGUUUCUUUAUUUUUACAACCUACUAAAUAAAUGAAACAUAAAUAAAAUAUCUAAAGUAAGUAAGUAUAACAUUAUUCUAUUCUAAUAUAUAUUAGCCGGGCAAAUAUAUAUCUCCAAAGUGUGUGUACAAAAGUCUUAUUUUAAGUGACAUAAAGUUCCUAAUUAUGUUCAAUAGACCUCUAAAAAUGCUUAAAAUGUAUGAAUUUAUACUCUCAUGAGACUCACAUUGCAAUAUAUUCUUAGAAUUAUAACUUCAAUAAAUAAAUAAACAAGUAGAGAAUUAAAAAAAAAAGGUUAUUAAAAUUUUAAUAUAAAAAAGCUAAAAUAUAGGGCUCGCUUGAUUAAAGUUAAAAAUUAUGGGAUUGAAUAAUUUCAAUGUAAAAUAAUCUUUAUCUCACGUUUUAUUUAUACAUAAAAGUAGAUGUAGAAUAAAAAAUUAUGGGUCCAUCUUUUAAUCCUAAAUAGUGAAAAAAAAAUCAAUCCCAAGCCCGGGGACCCCCUGGGUUUGUGUUUUUUAAAUUAAAAUUUUAUCCCACAACCACUCACAGGAUUAAGUGAUAAAAAUCCCAAGUUUCUGUCUAUUGUUAUGAACUCUUUGCCAAAAUCAAUUGCAGAAUAUUAUAACUUCAUUGUUAUGAGUUGCUGGACUAAUGUUCAUACUAUUUUAUCAUUUUAAUGAGUGUGACAAAAGAAAAUGCAAAAAAAUAAAAAUAAAAACACACACACACACAAACAACGAGCAAUUUUUUCUUUUUUCAGCGUUUGGUGCAAUAACUAAUUUAAGAUAAAUAAAAAAGAAUUAAUUUAAGAUAAUUUUGAGAAAAUUAAUGUAAUUAGCUACUAGCCAAUCCCAUAACAUAUCAAAUACAAGACAAGAUUAUUAUUAAAAUUUGAUAAACACAAUAUUUUAUAAAUAAUCUGCAUACCAAAUAGGUCCGUAUAAUAACAUUAUAAAAAUAGUAGGAAAGAAAUAGUAAAAAAUCCAAAUAAUAUAUAUAUAACAAAUUAUAUAUUAAAUAAUAAUUUUGAUUGCGGACCUACAAAUUAGAGUACGAAUUGAGUUUCUCUUACACUCAAUACGAAACAAAUUAAUUAAGUCGGCUGCGCAGGAUUUGCUAUUGCUCAGGUUAAAAUCAUUUGCCGGCAAAUAUUAUAUAUAUAACAAAUUGUAGGCGAAAGCAACGGAUUCAACACUCGUGCAACUUUUGCUGUGGUUCAUAACAAAACAAAAUUAAUUCCGUGAGACCCUUUGCUUGCUUUAAUCAGUAAUUCAUAACCUUUAAAAACGAUAAGAAUGGUGAUGGUAAUUUCAGACGUCACUGGCAUGCCCCGUUUGCCAAGCGCACAGUUUUUGCCUAAACUCCUGAAUAGAUGGCAAAAUGAUGCCAUCUUAAAUGGGAUGAAUUUUUAACGAAUGGUGCGGAGAAUGAAAAAUAAAAUAAUAGUAAAUUUUUUACACUCAUUAAAAAGAUUUAAAAGAUGAGAGUUUUUGUUAGUUGAUUUUGCUGAUCGGAGCUGUGUGUACAUGUAUAUGUAUAUAUUAGUUAUUAUUUAUUUAAUUUUUAUUUAAUUUUUUUUAUAUUAUUUUAAUAUGUUGUUUUUUAUUAUAUUAAUGAUGGUCGAAAAAUCUAAUAUAAAAUAGAUAAAUAGGAGAAUGGGUAGACACGAGUAAGUUGAUUUUCCAUCUCUACCUCCAUUAUAUUUAUUGAAGAAUAAGCCAAAUUUUUAAUCGGAUGAUGAAUGGAGAUGGUCUCUCCACCUCUACCCUGUCUUGUCGUUAUUAUUCCUACAAUAUUCCUACAAUAGUCAAGUGGCCAUAGAGAGAAUAGAUAAAUACAAGUUUCAUUAUAUAAUUCUAAUUUAAACUAUUAAUAUGAAGAGGAAAAAAACAAUUGAUACGUCGCAAACGUUGAAAUCAUCACAAAAAGACACCGAGGUAUCUUCAAAUUGUUAAUUAGUUUCAAAAUCCGUUAUUGAGAAGAGAUAUUGACCCCGUUUCAUACUUGUGAGUUACGUAUAACCCCAUUGACAAGCAUACGUACUGUUUAAUAAUUACUGGUUAUAACGCACCAAUUCAGAAUGAAAGCAGCAGAGAAAUGAAAAGUGGAGAAGAAAGAGAAUGGAACCUUAGAGUUGGAGAAGAUUAAUGAGAAUAGAACCAUGGAAUUGGAGAAUGUUAAGAAAACUGUGGGAAAUGAUCAUGAUGAGCCCAAGAUUAACUACAGAGGAUGGAAAGCUAUGCCCUUCAUCAUAGGUGAGCUGGAGUGGGCUGCUUCCUUCCUUCCUUCAUGUUUCUUUUGUUGUUGUUGUCGUCCUUUUUUUUUCCCCAAUUAUUGUUGUUUUUACUGUUGAGUAACAAAUUUCAGGUAAUGAGACUUUUGAGAAGCUGGGAGCCGUUGGCACUUUAGCCAACCUGUUGAUCUAUCUUACUUCUGUGUUCAACAUGAAAAACAUUACAGCUGCAACAAUUAUCAACAUCUUUAAUGGCACCGCCAACUUUGGCACCAUGAUUGGAGCUUAUCUUUGUGACACCUACUUUGGUCGCUACAACACAUUGGGAUUUGCUACGGUUGCUUCGUUUUUGGUACUAGCUUCUGCUCUUGAGCAGCGAGUUUCGGUUAUUAAAUUUUAUAUUGGUUACCAUUUCUAGCUGAGCUAAGAUAUAUUAUUCUACUAACUGAUCCGAAAAUAAUACGUACUUCAUAUAAAAACCUGUCACAAUUUGAAUUCUGUCAACCAUAUGGUAUAUUACAUAUUUAGUUGAUAUUCAUGUGAAUCUAAUUCUUAAUUUUUGGUGAAGGGGUUGCAAGCAAUACAACUAACGGCGGCAAUUCCAACUCUUCAUCCUCCCCACUGUGCAGCAGAAAGUUCAACGUGCAAAGGGCCAACAGCAGGACAAAUGGCAUUUCUGUUAAGCGGGUUUGGACUGAUGAUAAUAGGAGCUGGCGGCGUCCGGCCAUGUAACUUGGCAUUUGGAGCAGACCAAUUCAAUCCUAAUACUGAAUCUGGAAAAAGGGGUAUUAAUAGCUUCUUCAACUGGUACUUCUGCACCUUCACUUUUGCUAUGAUGGUGUCUUUGACCCUCAUUGUCUAUGUGCAAUCCAACGUGAGUUGGGCUAUUGGUUUAGCAAUUCCGGCGUUGCUGAUGUUGAUAGCGUGUGUCGUCUUCUUCAUGGGUUCAAAAAUAUAUGUUAGGGUCCCAGCCACUGGCAGUCCAAUGACCAGUGUGGCACAGGUCCUAGUGGUUGCAAUAAAGAAAAGGCAGCUAAAGCAACCAGACCAACCUUUACUUUCUCUGUUUAACUAUAUUCCCCCAGGUUCUAUCAACUCCAAGCUCCGUCAUACAGAUCAAUUCAGGUAAUUAACAUCUAGCAUUGUGCUUCUCGGUUGUCUCGCUCUCACUAUAGAUGUGAGUCAUAGGAGCUAAGUUAACAACUUAUUAAUUUGUUAUCAGAUUUUUAGACAAAGCAGCGAUGCUGACACCCGAGGACCACAUAAAUCCAGAUGGAUCAGCGGCAAAUCGUUGGAGACUUUGCAGUGUCCAGCAAGUGGAAGAAGUGAAAUGCGUUUUGAGAGUAAUUCCCACAUGGUUUGCGGCUGUUAUCUUCCAUCUUAUGAUCAAUCAGCAACAUACCUAUGCUGUCUUCCAAGCUCAGCAAUCCAACAGACGUCUUGGAAACAUUAGCUUCAAAAUCCCAGCAGCAUCUUAUGUGGUCUUCAUGAUGCUUAGCAUGACCAUUUGGAUACCUAUUUAUGACAGAAUUUUUGUCCCAUUUCUCCAAAGGCUCACAGGAAAAGAAGGCGGCAUCACACUGCUUCAAAGAAUGGGCAUCGGUAUAGGCAUCUCCAUAAUAACCAUGCUAGUAUCUGGGGUUGUUGAAGAGCACCGAAGAACC
rnacentral:lncRNA from 1 species